rnacentral:rRNA from 1 species
CGAAGGCGCAACUGAAAAAA